AUUGAACGCUGGCGGCAGGCUUAACACAUGCAAGUCGAGCGGGGACUUCGGUCCUAGCGGCGAACGGGUGAGGAAUGCUUGGGAAUCUGCCCAGUAGCGGGGGAUAACGUUUCGAAAGGAACGCUAAUACCGCAUACGCCCUACGGGGGAAAGGGGGAGAUCUUCGGACCUCUCACUAUUGGAUGAGCCCAAGUCGGAUUAGCUAGUUGGUGAGGUAAAGGCUCACCAAGGCGACGAUCCGUAGCUGGUCUGAGAGGAUGAUCAGCCACACUGGAACUGAGACACGGUCCAGACUCCUACGGGAGGCAGCAGUGGGGAAUAUUGGACAAUGGGCGAAAGCCUGAUCCAGCCAUGCCGCGUGUGUGAAGAAGGCCUUCGGGUUGUAAAGCACUUUAAGCGAGGAGGAAUGGCUGAGGGUUAAUAACCUUCAGCAGUGACGUUACUCGCAGAAUAAGCACCGGCUAACUCUGUGCCAGCCGCCGCAGUAAGAC
rnacentral:rRNA from 1 species